rnacentral:misc_RNA from 1 species
AAGUCGUAACAAGGUUUCCGUAGGUGAACCUGCGGAAGGAUCAUUAAAGAAUAUCGAGCUUCACAGCUCUUAUUCUCACCCUUUGUAUAUCAAACUUUGUUGCUUUGGGCAGCCUGGCCUUUACGGGCCUGGCCAGCAGGAACCCGAACCUAGAAUCUCUGCCGUCUGAGUACUAUAUAAUAGUUAAAA